rnacentral:lncRNA from 1 species
UUAAUCUGAUUUGGUAUGGUAAAUUCAAGCCAUCCCAAAGAGCUAUUGUAUCCGAUUUCAUCACCUCCCUUUCUACUUCGACUCCGUCUAAUGCCCAUCCUUCUGUUGCCCAAUGGUGGAAGACCACUGAAAAAUACUACCAUCUUGCCAACUCUAAGAACACCCUUUCCCUCUCUUUGGGCAAACAAGUGCUCCUAGAAAAUUAUUCCCUAGGAAAAUCAUUGACUCAGAAGCAAAUCGUUCAAUUGGCAUCAAAGGGUGAACAAAGAAAUGCUAUUAACGUUGUAUUGACAGCUUCCGAUGUUGCUGUUGAUGGGUUCUGCGUCAAUCGUUGUGGAACUCAUGGGUCGUCUAAAGGUGCUGUUAUUAAGGGCAAGACUUACAAAUUUGCUUAUAUUUGGGUUGGUAACUCAGAGACCCUAUGUCCUGGCUACUGCGCCUGGCCAUUCCACCAGCCCAUCUACGGACCACAGAGCGCACCACUGGGUGCGCCAAACAAUGAUGUGGGUGUUGAUGGUAUGGUGAUCAAUUUGGCUAGCUUAUUAGCUGGAACUGCCACGAACCCAUUUGGAAAUGGGUACUACCAGGGCGAAGCAGACGCGCCAUUGGAGGCUGCAUCUGCUUGCCCCGGUGUCUAUGCCAAGGGCGCUUUCCCCGGCUACGCCGGAGAUUUAUUGGUGGACAAGACUACAGGUGCAAGCUACAAUGCACACGGUACCAACGGAAGAAAGUACUUGGUUCCAGCUUUAUAUGAUCCUUCAACAUCUUCAUGCUCCACUUUGGUCUAGAGAGAACCAUUAUUUACAAAAUAGGAUACAAUAUAUAUAGUUGAGCAUAGAGUUGUAAGAUCAAUUUGUUGAUUCAUUCAUUUGUUUAAGAUAUGAUAAAUUGAUAAUAUACGAGAAAAUUAUUUUGCUAUGUCUAUAUUACCUUCUAAUUUCAUUUUCCUUGUUCACUUGAUUUAGGAAUUCUUUACUCUUCAAACAAAGACGUACAAUUAAUGCAACUCAACAUUAUUUGGGUAAUUCAGAUAAUUAGCGAUGUUCAGUUAGGCUUUAUUAGAUUAAAUGUUUUAUUCUAGGAUUUGGAAGAAUAUAUGUCGCAAGGCAUAAACAUGGACAAGCCAAUAAUUUUGUGGGCUCUUUUUCAACAGGGCAGAUGCAGAACUAAAUCUUCCAAGUGACUUAACAAACUAUAUGGAUCAACACAAAUAGCAUAAGACGAGGUUAAAUAGACUAGAGAUCAUUAGGCAUCCAACUUCUAUUAGUUUCUUCUUUCGUAGGGCUUGGAUGUCUUGACCAGUUGACAACCAUUAUAGGAAUUCAUGGUUAUUAGACUAAAAAAUGCACAAUGAUGAACAAGCUGGAAGGAAUGUUAUGUGGUAGUAAAUGCUAAUACUAAUUUAAGAUCCACCCAAAACACAAAUUUUCUUUUACUAUUCAGUAAUAUUAAAAGUAAAAUUUUCCGUAAACUGAAUUAGUUUGGUGUUUAUAGCAUAUGAGAUAUAAUUUACUAUUGGUGGGUGUUAGAGUGCGUGCUCUACUGAUUUUAAUAUUAUACUCUACUGAUUGCCUAGCUGUGGAACAAGUAAGCUAACGUGGUUCACAGAAGUAAAACUUGAACACAGUAUUUUUACAUGGAAAACACCCGGCUCAAGAAAGGUGUAAAAAACCACGACCCGUACCUCUACAGGAUUUAACCCCAACUUCACUAUUACUCUUGAGCCUCAACAAUCAAUCAAUUACAAGACUUCUUGUAAACAAGGAAUUAAAAUUUCUAACUCCUACUUCUACAAAAACACAAAUCUUCCCAAGAUAAGUGUUCCCAAGUCUUCGAGUUCCCCAACUUGAAGACGUUAAUCCUAACUCAGUUUAUACUCCACUGAGACUAGAGAUUACAACUCAAUAUGACUCAACUACCAACCUAUUACAAAAAGUCUAAGACUCUAAGUGAAGAACCAGGUUGUUCCAAUAGCUCCUUCAAGUUGUAGAACUAAUUUUCUAAUUGCUGACUAUCUUUUUCAGUGCAUGAGUGAAACAAUUGAAUGUCGUUUGUUGUAUUUAAGCUAACUCCUGAUUGAGUCCUUUAGUUGAUGUACUCUUCUAUCUUCAAUAGGACUCCCAGGUCAUUCUUCAUUGCGGCCGUGUCUCUCUCCUUGAUUGAAUAGGACUCUUCUCCUUUGUCCCUUAGUUUUGCAGGACUUUUUGAUCAACUCAACUUCUAGAUGUUGUACUUAUCUUCUCCUUUGCAUCUACUUAGCUGAUGUGAUAAGUGUUGAGAGCAUGUCUGAAAGUUCUUACUUAUCCACUCUUGUUUUUACACAGUGUCAUCUUAUCAAUAGUACUCUUGCCUGUGACUCUUCUUUCUUCACUUGUGUGGAACAGCUUGCACAACAUAUUUCAUUCAUAUGUCCAACAUCAAAACUUUACAUUCCUCAACAAAUUCCCCUUUUUGAUGAUGACAAACUUAGCUUCACAACAUCCAUUUCAAAAUCCUGAAAUACUCAAUAAAAGAUUAAAAUAGAAGAUCACAAAAUGAAACAGGUUAGUCAUUGAGUUAUAAGCAUUGCAUAAUCUAUUCUUCCCCCUUUUGGCAUCAUCGAAAAGAUGGCCCAACAAGUGAAAACUGUUUAAUAAUUCAUGGUCACUAAGGCUAUCACUAAAACAAUCAAAACUCAGAGCAAGAGAACAACUACGCAUUAUGAAAAAGCAGAAGCAGAUCAUAUUAAACAAAAUGGUCCAUUUCAUUCACAAAACAAGAUGCAAUUAUCAUUACCCAGAAACAGAAAAAAGAGAAAUAACAGGGACCAAGAAAAACAAGAAAAAUAUUCCUACGGCAUUACGAAGGAGCUAAGUGGAUGAGGAAGAGGGGAUAAGGAAUGUCAACUUUCAAACAAUAUCAAUAUUUUCAGAUCUUUCACGAUCCAAGGAGGCUGUCAGUGAGGCAAUCUGAGCAUGGAGAAUCCUCUUUUUAUCCUUAUGAGCAGCUUGAGCAGCCUCCAGUGCAGCCUGAGCAACCUCCACCUCAGCCUGUUUUGCAGCAAGUGCAUUCCUUAAUCUUUGGACAGGGUUGUCAACACUCCUCAUGAAAGUAGGUAACAUUGUAUGGCUCACAGACCCUAUGACAUCCUUCGUGGUUUGCAGAGACCAUACUUUGACUGGUAUAUGAAAAUCCUCAAAAACAUAUGCAAACUAAAAUUUAUAUAGCAAAGCAUGACCAUUUGCUUCUUGAAGUAAGACCCUCUGUAUGUGCUUAAUCAUGAGUCGAGGAAGGUCUAUUGGAAUUUCAGUAUCUAACAGUUCCAUCAGAGUAAGAUCAAGAAAAUUGGCAACUGUUCUUCUUUCUUAUCUAGGAAGGAUCAUUUUGUGAACCACAUCAAAAUAAAACUAAUAAAAAGGGGACAUCUCACGCUUUAAGACCCUGCGAUGAGUGACAAGAUGAGGAUUUCUAGAGAACUUUCUGCAUGUCUCAAGAGCAGAUGGAAGAUUAUCGAGAGGGGGCCAGGUUACCUUGGCAUAGUGACCCGAACCCCCAGUAGGAAUGCUCAAGAUUCAAGCAGGAUCAGCAUCAUAAAGAUUAAUAGUAACCCCAUGAACAGUGGUCGAAAAUAUCUCCCCAAUGGCAACUCCAUUAGUAUAAAACUCAUAUACUUCAUCCUUUCCAAACCUACGUUGAUGGUCACCUUAAAGAAGCAAGUGUGACCACCCCUGAUCUUGCAAUUUUGAAACCAAGAUAUCCAUUUCAGGGCCUCCAAAACUAGUGACAACUCAUCCCCUAGCUAAGUUACGUUUUUGAAAGUGGAGAAUAUGGGCUGACUAAGAAGUUUUGUCAUCAACAGAAGUAUCAAUAUCAAAAUUAAAAUCAAAAUCAGGAUCACUCUUAGUAGAGGGUGUGGGGGGAGUAUCAGGGAGAAAAUCAGAGUCGGCGGAGCUGGAGGAAACAGGCGCCUUAACCUGUUUCUUUGACUUAGAAGCGAUCUUCUUUGCAGGGGAUUUAGAAGAAGAGGAAGAUUUGGAAGUAAGAGAAAUUUUGGACGAUGAAGAAGCUUUUGGGUUAGACUAAGAUAAUGGUUUACCAGAAGAGGAGAUUUUUGGAGCUUUGCCAAUUAUCGUCUUCUUCUUACGUACUGAGCGAAGAAGAGUGUCAGGAGAAGAAACACUAGGAAGUGGAGAAGCAGAAGUAGCUACACGUUUCCUUUUACUUGCCUUAAGUGCUUCUGCCAAGGAAGCAUCUUCUCGUUGCUUUUUACCUCGUGUAUGAGGAUUUCGGGGAGAAGGGACAACAAAAAAGGCUUUACUGAAGCAUUGUCCUGAACAUUGAUGGUGAUGGAAGAGGGUUUUUGUUUUGGUUUAGAUCUGGACGUUCAAGGGAUUAGGUCAGCAAUAGGAACUCAUCUUGAUCAAGAAUCUGAAGAGGAAUUGGAGGUGGUAGUGAGGGUUCAGAAGAUGGUGAGGGGUUGGAAGAAAAUUGGCAAAAAGGUUUUGUAGAUUCUUGAAUAUUGCAAACUCGAAGAAUUUGAUUGAAAUUAGAAGAGGAAUGAGUGGGGGUAAGGUAAUAUCGGGAUAAAGUAUAAUGGCAGAGGAAGGAUCAUAGCAGAUUCUAAGGAAGAAGAGGAUGAGAAAAAUGCCAUUGAAGAAGAAACAGAAAGUUUGUUGUGGUUGUGUAGAAGUUGAAGAGAAUGAAUAGUAAGGAAAGAGGAGAACCAUAUUUAAGAAGGAAAGAGAGAAGAUGAAGCGUGGGUGAAGUGUAUUUGGUGAAGAAACAUAAUGAUUAGGUGGUUCAGUUCUGAUGGAAAAGGUCUGGUAGUUUUUGAAGGAGAAGGACUUUUGGGUUUUGGCGGUUUAAGUGUAAUGGAAAGAACCAUGUAGACAAACUGUUUCUCUUUAUGCUACUAUGGGCAAGCAAUAAUCAUACUUGAAUUCUGAAGAAAAAAUGGACAAAAUUGCCUUGAUGUUUCAGUCUUUCUGUAAAAUCAACACAUAGCUGAGUAAAUUUACUCUAAAAUUUUGGAAUUAGGAUACACAACUAAAUGUGUAACACUGAAUUAAUCAACAAUCACUUGAGAACAACUUAUUCUAGUCAAUCAUUCAGGGAGAUUUAUACAAUUUUAAUCAUCCCCAAGGCUAACCUAUUAUUUUUAAAGUGUUCUCUACUCAAAGACUUAGUGAAUAUGUUAAUAAUUUGUUCCUCAGUAGAACAAACAUAAAUGAUAUAUGUCCUUUUUCAACAUUAUCUCUAAGAAAGUGAUGUCUAAUAUCAAUAUGCUUAGUUCUUUUUUGUUGAACAGAAUUUUUGGCUAUUUUAAUGGCACUUGUAUUAUCACAAAAAAUAGGAACACAUCCAAUAUCUAUACCAAAAUCCAUAAAUUAUUGCUUAAUCCAUAACAAUUGAGCACAACAAGAUCCUGCAGCAACAUAUUCAGCUUCAGCAGUAGACAAGGCUACUGAAUUUUGCCUCUUAGUGGACUAGGUAAUCAAACAUGAUCCAAGGAAGUGUGCCAUGCCUGUGGUGCUCUUCCUGUCAACCAAGUAUCCUGCAUAGUUAGCAUCAUAAUAUCCAACCAAGUUGAAAUUACUAUCUUUUGGGUACCAUAAAUCAAGAUCGCUGGUUCCUUUGAGAUAUCUAAAGAUCCUUUUUACAAAUUUUAGAUGAGACUAUUUAGGAUUUUCUUGAAAUCUUGCACAUAAUCCUACACUAAAUACAAUAUCUGGCCUGAUUGUUGUUAGAUAUAGCAAUGACCCUAUCAUCCCUCUGUACAUCUUCUGGUCUACAUCAGGACCUGUUUCAUCUAAAUCAUGCCUUGUAGCUGUGGCUAUUAGAAUGCUGAUCUCUUUUGCCUCUUCCAUGGAGAAUUUUUUGAGAUGUUCUUUUACAUACUUCUGCUGAUGGAUCAUUAUUCUAGAUGUUGUUCGUUUGAUUUGCAAUUCCAAGAAGUAAUUUAGCUCCCCUAUCAUGCUCAUCUCAAAUUCGCAACUCAUGAGUUUAGCAAAAUCAUGAGUCAUAUUCAUAUUUGUGGAGCCAAAAAUGAUGUCAUCAUCAUAUACCUGCACAACUAACAGAUCUUUUCCAUUAGUUUUCAAUAAGAGAGUGUUGUCAAUUUUACCUCUAGUAUGGCCAUGCUCCAGUAAAACUUUUGACAAGCUCUCGUACCAAGCUCUUGGAGCUUGUUUCAAUCCAUACAAAGCUUUAUCCAGUUUAUACACAUGAUCAGGAAACUUCUUUCUUUCAAAUCUUGGAGGUUGUUUAACAUAUACCUGCUCUUUGAAAAUGUCAAUUAAGAAUGUACUCUUAACAUCCAUUUGAUAUAAAUGAACUCCAUAUAGGCAGCAAAUGCAACAAGUAAUCUAAUAGCUUCAAUUCUGGCUACAGGAGCAAAAGUUUCAUCAAAAUCUAUGCCUUCUUCUUGAUUAUAUACUUGGACCACCAAUCUUGCCUUAUUUCUUGUAACUGUUCCAUGCUCAUCAACUUUAUUUCUGUACACCCACUUAGUCCCAAUUACUGUUUUAUUUUUUGGGAGAGGAACUAAGUGUCAUACUUUGCUUCUCUCAAACUGAUUUAACUCUUCCUGCAUGGCUAUGAUCCAAUCUGCAUCAAACAACACUUCAGUUACCCUUUUUGGCUCAAUCUCUGAUAAGAAAGCCUUGAAGGAACAUAUACUUCAUAAUCCAGACCUUGGAGUGAUCCCAAAAAAUGAGAUCAGUGAGAACGUUCUCAAUAGGAUGUGAUCCUUGAUACUUAUAACCUUUUGGGACCAAGCCUAGUGAACUACUAGGAUCACUACUGAGUUCCCCUUGUCACUGUGCCUCUAGAUUCAGUUCCUUCUGUUGAGGUGCCUCCUUGUUUGGUAGCUUCAGUCGAUGAACCGGGUUGUGUAAUCUGUUCCUCAGAGUCACUUCCUCCUAUAGGUUAGUCUUAACACAGGAUUCAUAAAAAACUACAUGCAUGCUUUCUUCAACACAGUUAGUUUUGAUGUUUAGAACCCUAUAAGCCUUACUAUGAAGUGAAUAACCUAAUAAGAUUCCCUCAUCACUUUUAGUAUCAAAUUUUCCCAGAUUAUCCUUUCCAUUAUUAAAAUGAGAAAUGUUUGACUUUCUUUCUUUUAGUAAUUCAUUGGGAAUCUUCUCUAACAUAGGUCUGAUCAUGCAUCUAUUUAUGAUAUAUGCUGUAGUACUUAUUGCUUCAGCCCAAAGUUUUAAGCAAUAUUUACUGCAAGCAUUAUUAUUCUAGUCAUAUCUUCCAAGGUUCUAUUCUUUCUUUCCACCACUCCAUUUUGUUGUGGUGUUCUAGGACUCUUCUCCUCUAUCCCUUAGUCUCGCAGGACUUUUUGAUCAACGCAACUUCUAGAUGCUACACUUAUCUUCUCUUUUGCAUUUACUUAGCUGAUGUGAUAAGUGUUGAGAGUAUGUCUGAAAGUUCUUACUUAUCCACUCCUGUUUUUACGCAGUGUCAUUUUAUUAAUAGUCUUGCCUGUGACCCUUCUUUCUUCACUUGUAUGUAACAGCUUGCACAACACACUAUUAUUUAUGAUUUGAAGGUGCAGUAUUUUCUGUCUUCCCUAUGUUGGAGAUUGAUUUUAUUUUCUGAUUUGAGUCAUUGGACAAAUUUCAUUUCUAUUGAUGUAUUGGGCUUGACCCGUUUAUUUUAUUGUCCAUUUUAUUAUGACCCGGUCCAUAUUACAACGUAUAUACAUAGAGUGAGUGAGAUAUUUUACAGAAUAUAAUUCAUUUUCCCUCUUUUCUAAUAAUAAGAAAAGCUCAUGCUUCUCUCUUUUUUCUCUCUCUAGAAUGUUCUAUUGAUUUCUACUGUUCUUCAUCGUUUUCUUUGAUCUCCAUCUUCUCCGUCGAAUAUUAACAUGGUAUCAGAGCCAGAAAUUGGUAGAUCCGUUGGAUCUAAAUUUUCGUAUGAUUUCUACUAGUUCAGGUGUUGUUCGAAUUCUAGUAUUUGAUUAGUAGUCGACUAGACUCUUCAUUUUUGCCUACGCAGAGAUAUACGGAGGCGGCUCAGUGCUUUUUUCACCAUUUUUGAGGUUUUUUUUGGCUUGCAAUAGUGUCUGGGAUUUUUUCAUCAUUUUUCGCUUUUGUGUUUCAUUGAUUUUCUAUUUGAGGACAUUCUUCUGGUAGAUACUGCUGUCAUACUAUAGAUUUGUUGUAUUCCUCAUUGAAUUUGCUCUUGUAUUGGUUUUGUGUUGAAUAUUUGGUCAUAUAAUGGAAGGAAUGCCAAAUUUCUCUUCCCCUAGCAGUUCUACUACUGCAUUACCUAGAAUCGAAUUUCACAAGGAAGAUUUCAGUCAUCCUUGUCACCCUCUAAAUGUACAUCCAUCUGAUAUGUUGGAAGGGUCACUGGUUACUGUUCCCUUUGAUGGAACUGGGUAUGCUAGCUGGAGACGCACCAUUUUGGUAACUCUCUCUGUUCGUAGCAAUUGGACUUUAUUAAUGGUAGCACUAUUCGUCCCCCUUCUGAUUCUCUUUUAGCUAGGCAAUAGAAAAGAUGUAGUAACCUAGUUCUGUCUUGGCUCCUUAAUUCAUUAAGUCAGGAAAUUAGUAGAAGUGUAGGUAUUCUGAACUCCCGAGUGAGGUAUGCAAUGAACUUAAGGAUAGGUAUGGGAAAGUGAAUGGUACAAGGCUAUUUGUUCUAAGAAAGGAACUUGCCCACAUUUCUCAGGGUUUCCUAGACAUUUCUUUUUAUUUUAGUCGUAUUAAAAAACUUUGGGAUAAGAUAUCUUCCAUCUUCACCAAACAUCCCAAAUCUUGUACUUGUGGAGCUAGAGCCUUGUAUUAACAUGAUGAGGAUGAGCAAAAAUUAUACCAAUUUUUGUAUGGCUAAAUGAAACAUAUGCCCAGGUAAGGAUUCAUAUGCUCGUCAUGAAGCCUCUACUCUUUGUUGGUACAACAUAUGGUCUACUAUUAAAUGAUGAGAGGCAAAGACAAGUGUCCAAUUCCUCGUCAAUGUCAUUUCCUUCUGGAUCUUCUUCUUUUAAUGCUGGAGUUGUCAGACACAACUCCAUUUUUCCUUCAAGGGUAAACUUUGAGAUUAAUCCCACUAAAUCCAGCAACCUGGUUUGCAAAUAUUGUAAGAAGUCAGGUCAUCGCAUUGAUAAAUGCUAUAAACUACAUGGGUUCCCACCUGNNNNNNNNNNNNNNNNNNNNNNNNNNNNNNNNNNNNNNNNNNNNNNNNNNNNNNNNNNNNNNNNNNNNNNNNNNNNNNNNNNNNNNNNNNNNNNNNNNNNNNNNNNNNNNNNNNNNNNNNNNNNNNNNNNNNNNNNNNNNNNNNNNNNNNNNNNNNNNNNNNNNNNNNNNNNNNNNNNNNNNNNNNNNNNNNNNNNNNNNNNNNNNNNNNNNNNNNNNNNNNNNNNNNNNNNNNNNNNNNNNNNNNNNNNNNNNNNNNNNNNNNNNNNNNNNNNNNNNNNNNNNNNNNNNNNNNNNNNNNNNNNNNCAAGUAGAUAAAUUUCUAUGGAUUGUAGAUUCUUGGGCUUCUGACCAUGUGACAUCCCAUAAAGAAUUACUCUUUGAUAUUCAGACCUUGCCUUUUUCUGUUCUUGUUUCACUUUUAAAUGGUUACAAAUUUAAGGUCACAAAUAAAGGGUCCUUGAAUUUUUUCCCUCAUAUCACUCUACACAAUGUGCUUUAUGUCCCUACUUUCCAAUACAACUUAAUCUCUAUCCACAAAUUAUUAGAACAGAUGAAUAAGGUUAUUUACUUUAUCAAAACUUUAUGUGUUUUUGGGCCCUUUUUAGAUGAUGCCUCUGGUUCUUGGUAAGGUAGAUAAUGGCAUAUACAAAGUGCUCUUGUCAUUUAGUGCUGCUGGGAGUUGUCUUUCACAUUCUACUUCUCAUAUUCGUAGUUGUUGUACCUCUGAUAUAUUUGCACCUCGUAAUUCUUUUUGUAUUUUUACUGUAAAUAUUACAAAUCAUGUAUCUGUUAUGGAGAAUUCCAUGAAUAAAAUAGAUGUUGUUUGGCAUUACAGACUUGAUCACAUUCCCAUCUAAAAAAUGAAACACAUUCCAGAUGUGCAACCUUUUGUCAGUCAGAAACAGUCUUUCCCUUGUCCUAUCUGUCAAUUAGCUAGACAAACAAGACUUCUCUUUCCUUAUAGUUCCAUUAAGUCCACUUCACCCUUCCAAUUACUUUAUAUUGAUACCUGGGGUCCAAUCACUCUCCCACAUAUGAUGGGGCUAGAUAUUUUCUAACCAUUGUUAAUGAUUUCUCUAGAGCUACCUGGACCCAUCUAAUAGGAGAAAAAAGCAAUGCUUUUGAUCUCUUAAAAGCCUUUAUCAGUAUGAUAGAAACUCAGUUUGGUUCAAAAGUACUUUCCAUCAGGAGUUACAAUGCUCUUGAAUUGGGAUCUAGCACGGCUGGUUCUGUUUUGUUUUCAUCCAAAGGUAUUAUUCAUCAAAACUCAUGUCCACAUACUCCAUAAGAAAAUGGGGUAGUGGAAAGAAAACAUAGGCAUUUACUUGAAACUACUAGAGCCUUAUUGUUUCAGUCCUCUGUACCUAUCAAUUUUGGGGUGAUUGUGUGUUGACUGCCAUAUAUCUAAUUAAUAGGUUCCCUUCUCCCUUACUGAACAAUAAAAGUCCCUUUGAGGUCCUAUAUUCCAAACCUUCCACUUACCCUCAUCUCAAAUCCUUUUGGUGCUUGUGUUUUUCCACUAUCACCAUUCCACACUAGGAUAAAUUUUCCCCUAAUGUUGUUCCUUGUGUGUUUUUAGGAUAUCCUUUUGGCAAAAAAGGUUACAAAUUAUAUAGUCUUGACUCAAAGUCUUGUUUUGUGUCCAGAUAUUCCAUUUUCCAUGAACAUAUUUUCCCCUUUCCUUCCUCUCUACAUUUUCCACUCCCUGUCCUCCUACUUUUCCUUUCUCCUUUGAUGGCUCUAUUUCUACCAUAUUUUAUCUUCCAUCUGUAACUCCUGAGGGUUCAUCUAUACCUGAACCUGCUGGGAUUGCUUCUCCCCCUUCUUUUUCUCCAUCUUUUACUCCUGAUGAUCAUGUUUUUCCACUUGUUUCUUUCAUUUCUUCUUUACUUCCUUUGAGACACUCUACAAGAUCCCAUUCCAUUCCUAAAUACCUUCAUGACUAAUCCAUUCCCACUUAUCUUAGGCAUACUGCUAGUUAGUGUAGCACCCCGAAUCUGGUACCUGGAAUGAUAUAAGAUACUCUGACCUCGAAGGACCAUAAGCUAACCCAUGACUGAUAUUUGUACCUGAACACUACAUAAUAUACUGUAUAAAUACAGAAAUAAAGGUUGUAAGGCCAUAAGGUUCAAAACUGAUAAAAUAAUCUCUGAAUGAUAUGACAUCACAAUACCAAAACAAAACCUUAAAUAAACUAUCUGAACAUGAUCGUUUAAAAAGCGUCUAACUGACUGAACUGUCUGAAUAAGGAGUUGAUGGGACAUGUCCACAACUAACUCCAACUACUAAAAUAAAUUAAUUAAUGAGAUAAUAAAUUUAUGAUCAUAUCCUCGAAGGAUGAGGACUUGUUGCUAACUCUGAUUGCUGAGACUGGAAUACUACUGAUGCUCUGGAGGUCGUGCUUCUGAACCUAUGGUAUAUAACACCAUAGCGCAAAUGCGUUAGUACAUUUGAAUGUACUGGUAUGCAUGUGAGGUAGGCUGAAUGCAAAAGGGUUCACAUGCAUGAACUAUACUAACUGACUGAAUAACAUGAGCGUGAGAAUAAAUGCAUGAAUGUAUAAAAACUGUAACUGAGUUCGUGAUAACAUAAUUACUGAGUCUGAGUACUGAUUACAUGAGAUAUUUAUAACUGUAUAACUAAAAUAACUAAUACCGAGCGAUUGUAUCUGACAGUCUAGUUUCUGAUGGAACUAGCUGAGUUCCAUUCUAUUCUGGGUUGACUGUAUCUGACAGUCCUGAAUUAUCUAGAACUAUCUGAGUUCUAUUACUAAGACUGAAUAACUGUAUCUGACAGUCCUGGUUCUAUAACUGAAACUGUGGGAAGUAGUUAUCUAAUCGAAAUGUCCCAAAUAACAUAAUAUAGCUGAGUUGGGGUCCAAUCUGUAACCCCAAUUGGAAAGGUGUCAAUACCGCGCCACUGGUACGGAUAAUCUGUGAGUAACCCCCAUAUAACAGGUAACUCUAGUGAGAACGGUGGGAACUCUCAUAUAACAGGUUAAGCCACCUCAUCUAACCUCAUAUAAUAGGCUUUGAUGUCUCAAUCUACGCUGGCUACGUAGUUCUGGACCAGACGCAAGGAUUGCUUCUAAGAAUCACACCCUCAUAUAACAGGUGGGUACCUAUCUUUGGGUUCGCUUGGUGCUAAUUUAUACUCCCAUCUGGAUAGACACUGAACAUGAUUAACUGAACUGACUGGACUGAGUUAACCAAGUUUUGUUGACUGAUGGAAUACUACUGAGAUUACUGAGUUUUCCUGAGUCAUGAGACUGACUGAAUUCUAUAUAUCAUGGAUUGACUGAGAGUAUCUUGAAAACAUGACACUGAUUCUAGGCACACAACUAAAUUUUUAGGUACAGGUACCCCCAGGACUUGAUGGGAAGAAACUGACAAAGAAUGACUUUGUUGAAUAAAUGACCACAUCAACAAUCCAUAAUAUAAUAAAUUAGAGAAUUCAUGAAGUGCAAGUUCUAAAGCACCACAAUGGCCACACAUAUAUCCAUAACUCAUUGACUAAGGCAUUUCAUCAGACACUUGACAUGCAUGAACUUGUACAUGAAUGGGGAUUUCAUAAUAUUAUACUAGUAUGACAGUUUUCCUUCACAUAGGCAUUUAAUCAAACACAUAGGGAACAUGCUUUGGUUAUACAAUCAUCAACACAUCUAAUAAUCAUGGAUACAUCAAUCAACUUGUAAAUUGAAGGGGUUUAUUAUGGUUAUUAUGCAAAUCUUCUUAUACUAGGGUCAAUCAUUAAAAAAAUAUAAUUUAAAACAUGAAUCAAAAUCCUACAACAUCAUGAACAUAAAUUUCAAUUCUGUUUAAAUCAAGAACAUUCAUAAAUACACAAAUCUUUUAUUUUGAAAAGAGAUUCUUAAGCUUCAUGGGUGAAAGGGACCCAUGAAUCAAUACAUGACAUACCUGGAUUGUGAGUUUCUUGAAGUUCUUGGACUUGAAGAACCUGAAUUUCUUAGUUUCUUGAAGAAGGAUUUGGAUUUUUGAGAGAAAACCCUAAUUUGAUGUUGUAGAUGGAUAAUGAACUUAUGAGCCUUAAUCUGAUAUAAUUAGAGGUUAAAACGGGUUGAAAAGACCUAAAUACCCUAUUAAAAAUGACUUUAAAAUUACUGAACGAACUAUGUGAUGGUGGGUGCGACGGUCCGUCGCUGGGUCGACGGUUCAUCGGUCCUGAUCAUCGCAUCUGGCAGAAUUGGGGUUCACUGCCUCUGCUACGACGGCUUAGGCGAUGGUCCGUUGGCCUAAGCCAUUGCAGCGGAGGCGGUGAGACCACCUGCCAUGGCAGCAGAGGCAGGUGGUCUCACUGCCUCCGCUGCGAUGGCUUGGACGACGAUCGUUGCUAGCCCGACGGUCCGUCGACCCUCACCGUCGCACCUGGACAGUUUUGACUGCUUUAUGUAAAACGAUCAUAAUUUUUUACCCCGAUACUGAAUUUGGACGAAAUUGGUACCGCUGGAAAGCUAAUUCAAUUUUUCACAUGAAAAAAGUGAAAAUCUUUAAAAUAUCACAUGUAUAAAAGUGGAUUUAUCUUUCAAAGUAAGUUUCUAACAUUCUUAAGACGAUUUCAAGCUAGGUAGAAGUAUGGGGUAUUACAAUCAGGCCUCUAGUUUUUCUACUCAUCCAGUUUCUACUUUUGGGAAACAUGUUGUAGUUGAACUUAUAGUUAUUCUCAAACUGCUGCCAUUCCUGCCUGGCAGGAUGUUGUGAGAUUGAAAUUUGAGGCUUUGGAUACUAAUGGUACUUGGUUCUUUGUCCCUCUUUCUUUUGGUAAAAAGCCUAUUGGUUGUAAGUGGGUGUACAAAAUUAAGUACAGAGCUGAUGGCAGUAUAGUGAGAUAAAAAGCCAGACUGGUAGUUAGAGGUGAUACCCGAGUUGAGGUUAUUGAUUUCCAUGGGAUAUUUUCCCCUAUUAUGGAAAUGUCCACUGUCAAAACCUUGGUGGCUGUUGCUAUGAAAAAGAAAUGGCCGAUGUUCCAAUUGGAUGUUAAUAAUGCCUUUUUGUUUGGGAACCUUGAUGAGGAGGUCUACAUGAAGCUCCCACCUGGGUUAUCUGUUGAAUCUGGUCGUGGUAAUAUUCUUUUGGUUUGCAAGUUGUAAAAAUCUCUUUAUAGAUUACGACAAGCCUCAAGGCAGUGGUAUGGCAAGCUCUCUCAUGCUCUUUAUUCUAGAGGCUAUACACAUUCUCUCAAUGAUUAUUAACUGUUUAAAAAGGGUUCUGGUUCCUCUCUUGUUAUCCUUGUAAUUUAUGUGGAUGAUAUCAUCUUAACUGGCUGUGAUCUCACUAAAAUUAUUGCUCUUAAAUCAUUUCUUCACUCAUCUUUUCGUAUCAAGGAUUUGGGUACACUCAAUUAUUUUUUGGGGUUUGAGGUUUUCUAUAUCGAUUCUGGGGUUUUGCUUUACCAACGGAAGUUCAUCCAUGAUUUAUUGGUUUCUUAUAACAGUUUGGUUUGUUCUCCUGUGGUGUGUCCUCUUGAGCUUAACACUAAGCUCAAGGCUGGAGUUGGGCCUCCUUUUCCUAAUCCUGAAGAAUACAAGUGUUUGAUUGGGAAGUUUAACUUCCUUACCCAUACAUGACCUGAUAUAUCCUUUGUGGUACAAUAUCUUAGUCAGUUUAUGCAGACUCCUUGUAUGCCUCAUAUGUCUGCUACAUUGUAUCUUCUUCGGUAUCUCAAGGGGACCUCAGAUUCUGGCCUUUUUCUCUCAUCUGCACCUGAUCUAUCAUUUGCUGCCUAUUGUGAUAGUGAUAGGGGUACUUGUGCUGAUAGUCGCAGGUCUGUGUCUGGCUAUUGCAUCUUACUGGAUGAUAGUCUCAUUGGAUGGAAAUCCAAGAAGCAAGUUGCUGUCUCCCUCUCUUCUGCCGAGGCUGAGUACAGGGCCAUGAGUAAAGCUGUUGCGGUGAUUACUUGGCUCAUUCGUCUUCUUUCUGAUUUUGGUGUUUCUGAUCUCACUCUUGUUCCCUUAUUUUGUGACAAUCAGACUACCAUUCACAUAGCCAAGAACCCUGUCUUCCAUGAGCGGACCAAGCAUAUUGAGCUUGACUUCUAUUUUGUACGUACCAAGUUGGCUGAUGGUUUAAUCUCUCUUUCUCAUACUUCCAGCUUCUCCCAGCUUGCUGAUGUCUUCACCAAGUGCUUGACUGGAGUUCAACAUCAUGCACAUUUACUCAAGUUGCGAGUUGUGUCCCCCUCCAACUUGCGGGUUGGAGGUGGGGGGUGGGUGUUGGAGACUGAUUUUAUUUGUUGAUUUGGGUCACUGGACAGAUUUCAUUUCUAUUGAUAUAUUGGGCUUGGCCCGUUUAUUUUAUUGUCCAUUUUAUUAUGACCCGGUCCAUAUUACAAUGCAUAUACAUAUAGGGAGAGAUAUUUUACAGAACAUAAUUCAUUUUCCCUCUUUUCCAAUAAUAAGAAAAGCUCCUGCUUCUCUCUUCUUUCUCUCUCUAGAAUGUUCUACUAAUUUAUGCUGUUCUCGGUCGUUUUCUUCGAUCUCCAUCUUCUCCGUUGAAUGUUAACCACCCUAACAAUAAGAUAAAACUUCUAGAUAUCUUUUGUGCAACUGUAAUUGAUCAAAUACUACUGUUUUUUCCAAGUUCAUAUGAAAUAUUGUACACAACUGCCUAAUUAAUUGGGAGUGAAGCUGAGUAAAUUGGUGGUUACUCCAUACGCGUUAAUGAACAUGGAUAUGGCGCUUUGAGUAGAGGCGCAGAAUUUACGUACCAAAUACUAACUCGACAGGGCAUGUAUGAGGACGGGACAAUUUAGAUCGUGAAAAAAUAGGUACCAACUGGUACGAAGUUUAUAAUUAUUGAUUUUUUUCAAUACAAAAAAGAAUUACAUCGUAACUUCGAUGCAAUAAAAUAAAAAUUAAGUAACUAUUUACUAUAAAAUGACACCAAUUUUCUUUACAAAAUAAUAGUUUUGAAUUUUCCUAGUUGUGGGUACUAUUUAUUACUAAUAGCUUUUGUUGGGGGUGGGGGAUUUAGCUUUCUUUUGAAAACAAGUUAGUAUAUGUACAUUGCUCCGUUUUAUCAUUUACAUGCAAUUCUGUCAAUUACAAUUUACCUUCCAGUAUAUUUUACUCUCACGAGCCUAGGGAUUGAGUGCAGACUGUAGUUGCUUCACCAUUAAUCAUAAAAUCUUGACAUACAUUGAUCAUUACUUAAGAGUGUAGUAUUCUUGCUUGUGGCCAUUGAUCACAUAUACUUAUUUUCUAAAAUAGUAUACUUACACAUAAUAUUAUCUCAACCACAAUGUUUUGAUCUUUCUGGCUUAGCGUGCGCACAAACGAAUGUAGUCAAUUGCAACAGUGAUGUCAAUUGCUUAAUUGACAGUAAAGUUAUUCCUCGGCCUUAUGUGUUGCAGCUAGCUCCAGUUAAUGAAAACGCCAACGCGUCUUCAAUUAGAGUCCCUUUUUCUCAUUUCUCUGCACCUUCAUAACAAGCUCACAAUGCCCUUUCAAGUAUAAAUAAUGCCCCUCUCUUCUCCUAAAUCCCAUUCAAACUAGUACUAAAACACUCAAUUCCCAUCAAAAUUUGAGCUUCUCUUUACUGUCUUCCUAACAAAAUAUCAAGAAAGAAAACAUUAUGUCUUCUUCUCUCAGUUGUAAAUCGACCUAUUUCAUUUUAUCAUUUUUUGUAUUGAUUUCUUUCAUCAAUGUGUGCUUUGCUUCAAGAAAGCUCACAGCUUUAGUCCAAGACCCACAAAUGCAGGAGUUUUUGAAGUACCACGAGGGUGCACUCUUUUCAGGCAAAAUUAAUGUUAAUCUGAUUUGGUAUGGAAAAUUCAAGCCAUCCCAAAGAGCUAUUGUAUCCGAUUUCAUCACUUCCCUUUCUACUUCAACUCCAUCUAAUGCCCAUCCUUCUGUUGCCCAAUGGUGGAAAACUACAGAAAAAUACUACCAUCUUGCCAAUUCUAAGAAGACCCUUUCCCUCUCUUUGGGCAAACAAGUGCUCCUAGAAAAUUAUUCCCUAG